rnacentral:piRNA from 2 species
GGGUGGGGAUUUGUUGCACUACU